UUGGUGUUGAUUUGAAGAACUCUCUAGGAGGAGUUCGUUAAAAUACAACACAUGGAAAUGACCAAAAUUACACAAAAUAUGCUCAUAAUAUUAAAAAUAACCGACUUCCUGUUGGGUUUAGAAUUUCGCUCCAAGAGUCUUUUUUGUAGGUAUUGGUGUGUUACAUAUGUGUGCCAAUUUCCGUGCAUGUACGUGAAACAUAGCUGGAAGGCUGUUGAUUUUCUUGGUAUAGGUGGCGCUGUCGAGCCAUUUUGCCACACCCUCUUCUGAAUCCUAUAUCAGACGAAAAUUUUCACCAGGUUUGACGCGUGUGCAAAGUUUCAUGACUUUUUGAGCAUGUUAAAGCCCUCAAAAAUGCGAUUCAUUCGGGAGAAGAAGAAGAAGAAUAAUAAUAAUAAUAAUAAUAAACAAAGCAGAUACAAGAGGGUCCUCGCACCUCGGUGCUCGGGCCCUAAUUAAAGCUGCAAGCAGCGAUGAACGGGCCCUCGCACCCGGGCUCACCACCAUCGUGUGGCUUUAGUAAAAAGGUGAACGUUGAGAAAUAUGCAUUUAAACUCAUAAAUAUAAGUGCAAUAUAUCAAAGUUUAUUCCAUAUGUGUGCCAAUCUUCCUGUUGCCAGCAGGUGGCGCUAUCGUUAUAAUGGAAUAUUGGCCUUCAGAUGUGUUCAAGCCAGGACACUUAUCACACAUGUGAAGUUUGGGCAAGAUCGGACAUUUUAUGCCUGAGUUAUAACAUCUUUUAUUCCCAUGGCGAGACAUCGAACUUCGUCAUGGCGACAUGGACAUGCCUUUUAACAAAAAUUCAAGAUCUUCACAACUAAACAUCACACAGGUCUUUAGAUUAGACUGACCACAAAAAAGACAUUGAUGUCAUAAAAUUUCUAGGAGUAGUUUGUCACAGUGUAAAAUAUGUCACUUCCAGUUGCCAAUAGGUGGCGCUAUGACUAUAACUGAAUAUUGGCAUGUAGAUCUGUUCAGGUCAAGAGUCUUAUCAAACAUGUGAAGUUUAGGGCAGAUUGGACAUUGUAUG